rnacentral:rRNA from 1 species
UAAUAUGAAGGUUGUUAUUUUUUUUAUUAUUUAUAAUUUUAUUGGAAAUAAUUUUUUUUUAGUAGUUGUUUAAUGAAAUAAUUAAUAUAACAAUAGUUUAUUUUACUGUAAAGGAGUUUUUUUUAUUAAUUUUAAGCAUACUUUAUUUGUUGUACCUUUUGUAUCAGGGUUUAUUAAUUAUAAAUUAAUUAUUUAAUUUUCCCGAAAUUAGAAGAGAUAUAUUUUUAUGAUAGUUUACGUAUUAUAGUAAUUUUUAAUAAAAAUUUAGGAGUUAUAUGCUAUUCAUUUUUAAAUAUCUGGUUAUUCAAUAAAUUAAUUCAAUUAAUACUGGAAGAUUUAGUUAUUUUAUAAAUUUAUUUUUUUUAAUUUUUUCAGUUAAAAUUAUAGGGGAUAAGCUCUAAUAAUUGUUUUAUAAUCUUUUUAAUUAUUUAAAUUAUGUAGGCUUGACAACAGCCAUCAAUUAUUUCGUUAUAGUUAAUUUUUAAUGUUUAUUAAUUUAUUAUGAUUUAAAUUUUUAUUGAAUUAUUUAAUUUAAUUUUUAUUUUUUAGAAAUAAUGAUAUAAUUAGUAGUGUUGAAUAUUUAAAUAUAGGAAUUCGGCAAGUUUAGUUCUCGCCUGUUUAUCAAAAACAUGUCUUAUAGAUUAUUAAUUUUAAGUCUAAUCUGCCCGGUGAUUUAUUAAACGGCCGCAGUAUUUUGACUGUGCGAAGGUAGCAUAAUCAUUUGUCUCUUAAUUGGAGGCUUGUAUGAAUGAUUGGACGAGGAAUUAACUUUCUUUAUUUAAAUUUUUAUGAAUUUGAUUUUUUAGUUAAAAAGCUUAAAUUUUUUUGCAAGACGAGAAGACCCUAUAGAGUUUUAUUAUUUAUGGUAUUUUUUUUAAUAAGUUGUUGAUUAAUUAAAGUUAAAUAAAUAAUUUUGUUGGGGCGAUAUUGAAAUUUUAUUAACUUUCAUAUUUAAUUUAUCAUUGAUUUAUGUUUUUUUGAUCCUUUAUUAUGGAUUAUUAGAUUUAAUUACCUUAGGGAUAACAGCGUAAUUUUUUUGGAGAGUUCAUAUCGAUAAAAAAGUUUGCGACCUCGAUGUUGGAUUAAAGUUAGUUUUAGGUGUAGCAGCUAUAAAACUGAGUCUGUUCGACUUUUAAAUCUUUACAUGAUCUGAGUUCAGACCGGCGUGAGCCAGGUUGGUUUCUAUCUGCAAUGGUUAAAAUUAUGUUUUAGUACGAGAGGACCAAAUAUAAGUAAAAUUUAUUAAAAUUUUGAUUAAUAUUA